GAAAAGUUCACAGCAUAAAACAACAGAGUGGAGUGAUUCAGUCACACUGACAGUUUCAACAAGUAAACCCAGAGCCACACCGACAGCACAAAGUUUAACCAUACCAGCAGGGGGCAGUGUGACACUGAGCUGCUCUGUGGAGGGCUCUGCUGGCUGGAAGUUUGACUGGUUCAGACGUGAUUCAGUCUCUUCUAAAGCUCAACUCAUAAGAGGAAAUGAAGCAAACAGAGAUAUUAGUGUCUCACAAGGAGGUCUGUACCACUGCAGAGGAGGGAGAGGAGAUCCAGUUUACUACACAGAGGACAGCAGUGACGUCACCAUUAUGCAAAUCAUUCCCAUUAAGCCCCCUGUGAUCAUGCAACACAACUGGACUCAGAUAUACAGCGGUGAGACAGUCACUGUCAGAUGUGAGAUUCAGGGAGGUGAAGGAGCUCAGUGGACGUAUGAAUGGAGUCCAGCCAAGUUAAACACACCUCCAACAUCCAAUGAAUACAGAAUCACAGUUACUGAGUAUGACAGUGGAGGAUACAGCUGUCGGGGCAGAAGGGACUAUUUCUUCACAGAGUGGAGUAAAAUCAUCACACUGACUGUAUCAUGUAAGUUGGAGAUGUUUCAUCAAAAUUUAAAUCCAUUGACGGCUCUUCUUUAUUUCUAUUAUUUUUAUUGCACGUGUGCAGUACUACCUGUUGCACCAACAUAUGAUGCAGUUGCUUCAGUUUCUUUUAGCAUGUUAUCUGUUUUUGAAAUGAAUCUUAGAGGUUUCAGGUCUUGCUUAAAGAGUCUGGUCUCAUGAGCAACACACACUGCUUUUUCACUUAAGCCCCUUUUCCAUUAGUAACUACUCAGAUUGACUUGCCAUGGAUUGCCACGACUCAACUCGGAUCGACUGGUUUUCCACUACAAUCCAGUACUACCUAACUUGUGUGGUUAGAUACUAACAUCCAAGUAGGUACUAAUGGAAAAGGUGUCAUGGUCCCCGUGCCUCACCGGCUGACUCCGGGUUAGGCAAAAUGUGUUUGUUUUUGUUCUCUCUCUCUCCCCCUCUUCCUCUUCCCCCUGCUGUGGCGGUGCCCCUGGCUCACGCACCUGUGCUCAUCAUCACACCUGUCGUUGUUUACUGCAAUCAGAAGGGCUUCUUAAGAUGGCAGACCUACGCUACUUGUCGCUGGAACGUUGAGCCACCCGCAUUCUCCCUGGACCCGUCCCUGUAUCCCUGAGCGAGCGAGUGAGCGAGAGGAAUGAUUGGAGGAAAAGGAGUGGGAUUGUUGCCGAGAGAGUAGAGUGUGUUUUUGGACCCUUCCCCUUUCCCUCAUACCCUGGAGCCCUGGACCCUUCCCCCGAACACUUGUAUAUAUAUAUUCACCUGGUGAAACCACUGUAAAUAAACGCACUAUCAGCUUUUGCAAAGGUCUCCUGGUCUGCGCCUGAGUCCGUGUCAAAAGGGGCUUUAGUGAAGUCUGAACUGCAAACGACAGUAUGGCCUUCUUUUUUGGACACUGUUAUGUAAAAAUAA